rnacentral:rRNA from 11 species
AGAGGAGCCUAAACACCCCAAAGGCACCAGAUCCCAACUGAUCUUGGAAGCAAAGCAGGAUCAGCUCUGGUUAGUCCUUGUAGGGGAGACCACAAACGAAUAUGAAGUUCUGAGAGCUCUACUU